rnacentral:rRNA from 1 species
CCUACGGGAGGCAGCAGUGGGGAAUAUUGGACAAUGGGCGCAAGCCUGAUCCAGCCAUACCGCGUGGGUGAAGAAGGCCUUCGGGUUGUAAAGCCCUUUUGUUGGGAAAGAAAUCCAGCCGGCUAAUACCUGGUUGGGAUGACGGUACCCAAAGAAUAAGCACCGGCUAACUUCGUGCCAGCAGCCGCGGUAAUACGAAGGGUGCAAGCGUUACUCGGAAUUACUGGGCGUAAAGCGUGCGUAGGUGGUUAUUUAAGUCCGUUGUGAAAGCCCUGGGCUCAACCUGGGAACUGCAGUGGAUACUGGAUGACUAGAAUGUGGUAGAGGGUAGCGGAAUUCCUGGUGUAGCAGUGAAAUGCGUAGAGAUCAGGAGGAACAUCCAUGGCGAAGGCAGCUACCUGGACCAACAUUGACACUGAGGCACGAAAGCGUGGGGAGCAAACAGGAUUAGAUACCCUGGUAGUCCACGCCCUAAACGAUGCGACUGAUGUUGGUNNAUUGUCGCGCNUAUGAGACUACGUACGUAGUUACGCCGCCGGGACGGUACGGUCGCGACGACGAGAACGUAAACGUAAAGUAGUACGGCGUGAGACGUGACCGACGGACGACGACGAGGGAGGAGG